GCGAGGAUGACCGAGCGGUUAAGGUGGACGACUUAAGAUCGUCUGGUUAAUUCCAUGGUGGGUUCGAUUCCCACUCCUCGCA
rnacentral:tRNA from 1 species